UGCCUCAGUAACGGCGAGUGAAGCGGCAACAGCUCAAAUUUGAAAUCUGGCUUCGGCCCGAAUUGUAAUUUGCAGAGGAUGCUUUGGUUGCGGUCCUGCGUAAGUGCCUUGGAACAGGCCGCCAUAGAGGGUGAGAGCCCCGUACGCGUAGGUGCCAACGCCGUGUAUAGCUCCUUCGACGAGUCGAGUUGUUUGGGAAUGCAGCUCAAAAUGGGUGGUAAAUUUCAUCUAAAGCUAAAUAUCAGCCGGAGACCGAUAGCGCACAAGUAGAGUGAUCGAAAGAUGAAAAGCACUUUGGAAAGAGAGUUAAACAGUACGUGAAAUUGUUGAAAGGGAAGCUCAUGCGACCAGACCUGCGUUGCGGUGAUCAUCCGAGGUUCUCCUCGGUGCACUCGCCGUUUCGUUGGCCAGCAUCAGUUUUGGCGGUCAGACAAAGGCUGUGGGAAUGUGGCUCUUCGGAGUGUUAUAGCCCACGGUGCAAUGUGGCCUGCCGAGACUGAGGAACGCCUAUGAAGGAUGCUGGCAUAAUGGUCGCAUGCGGCCCGUCUUGAAACACGGACCAAGGAGUCUAACAUCUAUGCGAGUGUUUGGGUGUCAAACCCCAGCGCGUAAUGAAAGUGAACGGAGGUGAGAGCCCUUAGGGUGCAUCAUCGACCGAUCCUGAUGUCUUCGGAUGGAUUUGAGUAAGAGCAUAGCUGUUGGGACCCGAAAGAUGGUGAACUAUCCGUGGAUAGGGUGAAGCCAGAGGAAACUCUGGUG
rnacentral:rRNA from 1 species